CCUCGGCGUCGUCGAUGGUGGCGGCGACGUCGGCUCCCGGUCGGCGGUGCCGAUGGCGAUCUUCGCCGCGACGAGGA
rnacentral:tRNA from 1 species